GAUGAACGCUGGCGGCGUGCCUAAUACAUGCAAGUCGAGCGAACAGACGAGGAGCUUGCUCCUCUGACGUUAGCGGCGGACGGGUGAGUAACACGUGGAUAACCUACCUAUAAGACUGGGAUAACUUCGGGAAACCGGAGCUACUACUGGAUAAUAUAUUGAACCGCAUGGUUCAAUAGUGAAUGACGGUUUUCCUGUCACUUAUAGAUGGAUCCGCGCCGCAUUAGCUAGUUGGUAAGGUAACGGCUUACCAAGGCGACGAUGCGUAGCCGACCUGAGAGGGUGAUCAGCCACACUGGAACUGAGACACGGUCCAGACUCCUACGGGAGGCAGCAGUAGGGAAUCUUCCGCAAUGGGCGAAAGCCUGACGAAGCAACGCCGCGUGAGUGAUGAAGGUCUUCGGAUCGUAAAACUCUGUUAUUAGGGAAGAACAAAUGUGUAAGUAACUAUGCACGUCUUGACGGUACCUAAUCAGAAAGCCACGGCUAACUACGUG
rnacentral:rRNA from 1 species